ACGCGUGGAACCUUACCAGGUCUUGACAUCCUCUGACAAUCCUGGAGACAGGACGUUCCCCUUCGGGGGACAGAGUGACAGGUGGUGCAUGGUUGUCGUCAGCUCGUGUCGUGAGAUGUUGGGUUAAGUCCCGCAACGAGCGCAACCCUUGAUCUUAGUUGCCAGCAUUUAGUUGGGCACUCUAAGGUGGCUGCCGGUGACAAACCGGAGGAAGGUGGGGAUGACGUCAAAUCAUCAUGCCCCUUAUGACCUGGGCUACACACGUGCUACAAUGGAUGGUACAAAGGGCAGCAAAGCGGUGACGCCUAGCAAAUCCCAUAAAACCAUUCUCAGUUCGGAUUGUAGGCUGCAACUCGCCUACAUGAAGCUGGAAUCGCUAGUAAUCGCGGAUCAGCAUGCCGCGGUGAAUACGUUCCCGGGCCUUGCACACACCGCCCGU
rnacentral:rRNA from 1 species